AGGGCACCACCAGGAGUGGAGCCUGCGGCUUAAUUUGACUCAACACGGGAAAACUCACCCGGCCCGGACACUGGAAGGAUUGACAGAUUGAGAGCUCUUUCUUGAUUCAGUGGGUGGUGGUGCAUGGCCGUUCUUAGUUGGUGGAGUGAUUUGUCUGGUUAAUUCCGAUAACGAACGAGACCUUAUCCUACUAAAUAUGUGGUCAAGUUUACAAACACUUGAUCUCACUUCUUAGAGGGACAGGCGGUGAUUCAACCGCACGAAACAAGGCAAUAACAGGUCUGUGAUGCCCUUAGAUGUCCGGGGCCGCACGCGCGCUACACUGAAGUGAUCAGCGUGCUUUGCUAUGCCUACUCUGACAAGAGUGGGAAACCCCAUGAACCUUCUUCGUGAUUGGGAUAGGAGAUUGUAAUUAUUCUCCUUGAACGAGGAAUUCCCAGUAAGCGCGAGUCAUAAGCUCGCGUUGAUUACGUCCCUGCCCUUUGUACACACCGCCCGUCGCUACUACCGAUUGAAUGU
rnacentral:rRNA from 1 species